UCACUCUGAGCUUACAUCUGUGCCAAUCUUUCUCUAUUUUUUAGUAUUCAGGACAUCAGCAAAGCAUGACCACUAACAGAGCAGUGUAGGUCUGUACCCGGGAAUGGAACCUGGGCUGCCGAAGUGGAGCAUGCUGAACCCAACCACCAGGCCACUGGGGAUGGCUGUGUGCAUCAGUAAUUUUGAUGUAACUUAAAAAAAUUUGAAAAAAAAAGAAAAAGAGAAGAAACUAUUGUAAUCUGGAAGGCUGUGGCCUUGUCCUUUGGGUUCAGGCCAUUUGUUUAAAAUAUGUGAACAACUAAUAGUUCUUACCCCCUUGAAGUAAAAGGAGAGUGCAGUGGUGACAACAGAUACUUCAGUCGUCCUUGCAUGUGUAAACCAAUGACAAAACAUGCUUAAAACACAGUGUGUGACUCCAUGGCCUUUGUAACUUGUUUUACAGGCAGCAUAGGUAAUCUAUUAAAAAAUGCAAAUAAUGAGGCUCAUGUGAACACUUAAUUUAAUACUGCUAGCCCAGUUCCAUGAGCAUAAAGAAACACUUAAUAAUAACUACGAAAAGUCCUGGGCAGUAGAGGUUUCCUCCCCGGGCCUUCAUAAUAAUCAUUCACAGAAUUCCAUUCUCUGGGCUUAACUAAAAACCCGACGAUCCCACCAUCUCAAAGUCAACAGCAACACACACUGAGCUGACACCCAGAUAGAGAAAGUGAUAGAAUUGUAGGUUGUAGUUUUAUGCCCGGACUCUGAAGAUUAAAGAGAUAGUUAAAAACCAUCAUAUUAUGAAAUGAAUUUACCUAAUGAUUCCAUCGUAAAAUGUAUUUUAUCUCUGAAACAUAUGCUGGGAAAUACAGAAGUCGACUCAAACUGUCUUUUUUCAAUUAAUAAAAAGCAUGAUUUUAUAAAAAUAAACUUACUCUCCUCUUUUGAAGUUGUUUGCUGAUUGAGGACAACUAAAUAUUCCAACAACCCGUUGUUUUUCUAAACCCUUUUGAACAUCGGAGUUUGUUAAUGCUGCUUUGACUUUUUUUGUACAGAGAGGGUAGAAGGAAUCCGGAGGAGGGGGAAGAAGAGUGGGAACCAGCAGGAGAUGAUGCCGGCUUGUUCUCUAAUGAAAGAAGAUGGAGGAAGGUGUCUGCGUGCACACAUCACCGGCAUUUUAAGUCAUAGUUGGCAGCACACAAACAUUCAAAUCAACAGCCCCCAAUCCCUUCAGAAUCAUGAAAACUAAGGGUACCUGGAUUAGAAUGCAGAAUAACAUCUUCGUGAAUCAUCUCGCCCCACAAACUGCUUUCUUGUUGUAGUUACGGACACCUGGUGUACCCCGUCACCCCACGCUAGGCAUUCUUAACUCUUCCCUCGCCCUCCCAAGCCACAGCCACCCAGUCCCCACAUUCUGUCAAUUAUUCAAUCUCAGGAGGAAUCUGUUCCAUCACUUCUCAUGGAACUACUCCAACAGUCUCCUAACUCGCUUUCUUGUCUCCAAUCCAUUCUCUACCCAACUACUAAAAUACACAUCUGAUCAUUGCUGGACAUUGCCCAGGACAAACCUGGGGCCACUCAAAAUCUCAUCCAAUAUGUCUUUCCAGUUCUGUCUUCAGAUACUACUAUUCUCCAGUCACACCAAACGACUCACCAUCUGCCAGAUAUUUACCUUACACAAGCAACUAUAAAUGAGCAAUCCUGUGCGGAAGGCUUCCUAGUCAGUCUCAGACACACGAGGAACAAGGUAAGGGAUCGUUUCCAACAAGUAAGUUUCUGCUGUUGGCAACAGAAUGCAAAAGGAAAGAUUUAGAACUUUAAAAAAAAUCUCUUUUCUAUAUUUCAGUUUAAGCGUCAAGCAUUACUAAACUGGAAGGAGGAAGUAGCUUGGGAUAAGAUGAAGCGAAGGCAAUCAACAGCGAUGGGAAGUUGGAAAAAGACCUCAGAAAGAAGAGUCAGAGAAAGUAAUGACCACAGCUUCACUUGGAUUCUUUCUUCCUUUCAGCAACACUCACUGAUGAUAAGUAGAUUGUGUCACUCCCCAUUUAAACUCUAAGCGUCAGCCAAUGGACCUAAUCAAGUAAUCAGCAACCCUAAAUGAGAUCUGUUCACCAGGAACACUGCAGCGAAGACUCACUGGUCGGUCUGCAUAGGGACCAUCACAAAGGAAUGCCGCUCUUUCCUAAAUCAAGAGUUACCUGGGGCAGAUCGGGAAGAGAAGUGCCCAAGCCUGAAACACAGGAUACAUAAUACAUAAAGGAUCAUCAGCCUGGAAGCACAUCUCAAAUUCUAGUGCGGCAAAAAUAAUCCCCCCGGGGAGCACGUUAAGAGUCCAGAUUACUGGGUCUCGAUCCUAGUGAUUCCGAUUCAGUAGCUCCAGGUGGGGCUCAGGAAUCUGCACCUUUAGCUCGCAUCCUGGGUCGUCUUCAUUCUGAAUUUUGAGAAGAAACUCCAGCUAGAAGACCGGAAGUAAUCUGUCAAGUCCAACUGGUCUGUAUUGAAGUGUCCGACCAAAGGCAGC